GAUGAACGCUGACAGCAUGCUUAACACAUGCAAGUCUUUGGCGAAGCUGUGCUUGCACAGCCUAGCCAAGGCGGACGGGUGAGUAACGCGUAAGGAACUUGCCCUGCAGUCAGGGAUAACAGACGGAAACGACUGAUAAGACCUGGUAAAGUCAGGCGGACUCAUGUCCAGCCUGAUGAAAAGGGAUGCUGCAGGAGAGCCUUGCGUCCUAUUAGCUUGUUGGUGGGGUAACGGCCCACCAAGGCGAUGAUAGGUAGCCGGCCUGAGAGGGUGGACGGCCACAAGGGGACUGAGAUACGGCCCUUACGCAUACGGGAGGCAGCAGGGGGGAAUAUUGGACAAUGGGGGCAACCCUGAUCCAGCAAUUCUGUGUGCACGAUGAAGGUUUUCGGAGUGUAAAGUGCUUUCAGCAGGGAAGAAAAAAAUGACGGUACCUGCAGAAGAAGCGACGGCUAAAUACGUG
rnacentral:rRNA from 1 species